GCUCAGUGGUAAGAGUGCUUGCCUAGAAUGCAUGAGGUCCUGGGUUCAAUCUCCAG
rnacentral:tRNA from 1 species